AGAAUCAACGCUGGCGGCGUGCCUCAGACAUGCAAGUCGAACGAUUAAAGCUCUCUUCGGAGAGUGUAUAGAGUGGCGCACGGGUGAGUAACACGUAAGUAAUCUACCUUUGAGUGGGGAAUAACCCGGGGAAACCCGAGCUAAUACCGCAUAAUGCAGCGGCACCGCAAGGUGACAGUUGUUAAAGGAGCAAUCCGCUUAAAGAGGAGCUUGCGGCAGAUUAGCUAGUGGUAAGGUAAUGGCUUACCAAGGCUACGAUCUGUAUCCGGUCUAAGAGGACGGUCGGACACACUGACACUGAAUAACGGGUCAGACUCCUACGGGAGCAGCAGUCGGG
rnacentral:rRNA from 1 species